rnacentral:rRNA from 1 species
UAUCUCUGUAGAGUCUGCAUAUCAAUAAGCGGAGGAAAAGAAACUAACUAAGGAUUCCCUUAGUAACGGCGAGUGAAGCGGGAAGAGCUCAAAUUUGAAAUCUUCAAGGUUUUACCUUGACGAAUUGUAGUUUAAAGAAGUGUUUUCUGUUGAAGUUUUGGUAAAAGUUCUUUGGAAUAGGACAUCAUAGAGGGUGAGAAUCCCGUAUUUGACCAUUACUUUCCAGCUGUUGUGAUACACUUUCAAAGAGUCGGAUUGUUUGGGAAUGCAGUCCCAAAAUGGGUGGUAAAUUUCAUCUAAAGCUAAAUAUUGGCGAGAGACCGAUAGCGAACAAGUACUGUGAGGGAAAGAUGAAAAGAACUUUGAAAAGAGAGUUAAACAGUACGUGAAAUUGUCAAAAGGGAAGCGUUUGACAUCAGUGUUGUUUUCUCGAAAAUCAAUUAAAAAAAGUUGGAUUUUGUAUUGUUAAGACCUUAUCAGCUUACUGUACUCUUUUCUUGCUUUUUUUAAUGCACUUUUCGUUUAACAAGUCAACAUCAAUUUCUUUUGUUGUAAAAGAGUCAUUGGAAGGUGGCUUUCACUUCGGUGAAGGUGUUUAUAGCCUUUGGCUUCUGCAAUCGGAGAGAUUGAGGUCUGCAGCGUAGAUCCUUCGGGGCUAGAUACGUAGAUGCUAAGUUAUAGUUUUUUAUAGACAACUUGUUGACUAUAAUUAGUCAUGUAGCUUACUCGUUUGCGCUAUUUUACCUACGCUUAGGAUGUUGACGAUCAGCUGAGCGCG